CCUGGUCCGCCUAUACAAACCGGCCUGGGGACCUCCGGCUCGGGGUGGUGUCCGCCUAGAAGCAGCGAGGCCGCGCUCCUUCCCCUUCCCCCUUCAGCUGUACCAGGAACAAUCAGCAUAACAGGAGAGAUGUUCCAAGUGUGCUACAGAUGAAGUGGAUCUCUGUACUUAACCACCUGGAAAGUGAUCAUCUUAAACCUGCCCACCUACUGCACAGAACUCCUGAAUCAAAUGAAAUACAAUUUUUCAAAAACUUAGAGUAAUAAAAAGGAAAAUACAAAUUUAA